rnacentral:rRNA from 1 species
ACAUGCAAGUCGAGCGGUAAGGCUCCUUCGGGAGUACACGAGCGGCGAACGGGUGAGUAACACGUGAGCAACCUGCCCUUCUCAUCGGAAUAAGCGUUGGAAACGACGUCUAAUGCCGAAUAUGACUUCCUUUUGCAUGAUUGGAAGUGGAAAGCUCCGGCGGAGAAGGAUGGGCUCGCGGCCUAUCAGCUAGUUGGUGUGGGUAACGGCCCACCAAGGCGACGACGGGUAGCCGGCCUGAGAGGGUGACCGGCCACACUGGGACUGAGACACGGCCCAGACUCCUACGGGAGGCAGCAGUGGGGAAUAUUGGACAAUGGGCGAAAGCCUGAUCCAGCAACGCCGCGUGAGGGAUGACGGCCUUCGGGUUGUAAACCUCUUUCAGCGGGGACGAAGCGAAAGUGACGGUACCCGCAGAAGAAGGACCGGCCAACUACGUGC